GGAGCCGCAGCUCGGGCAGAGGGCGCGCUGGCCGCGGGGCCGGGCGCGUCACCUGUCCCACCUGGCGGCUGCACCGGGCGCGCCCCGCAGCGCGCUUCUGUCCUUACCGCGGCCCGGCAGCUCCGGCUCAGCGGCGGAUUAGGGUUUAGGAGCUUUAGGGUUUUGCUGGCGCUUAUGAAAUCGAGGGAGCCGUCCUCCCCGCCGCCGUGCGGAUGCCGGGUGUUCAGAAUUAACUCUCUUCUCUCCAGGCACAACCGAAGAUCGGUUGCAUCCCAGCGAUGUGUUUUGAACGCAAAAUAUACUUGCACACGUCGUAAUUUUUGCUCAAACGUUUUCCAAGACCCGUAAUUGCCAUCUCAGGCCAAGCGCAAAACUCAAACUAAGCAGAUUUCUGCCAGAGCAAUGAGUCCAUCAAGAAGGAGAGGCUUUUCCCCCGACCCGCUGUUGUUUUAAACGCCCAAAGAACUGCUUUCAGCAUCAACCGGUGCUCGCCUGCUGGAGACAGACACCGCUGUGGGGCAGUGCGAGGCUGGAGGUGUGCGCAGUGGCGUGCUGUGUGCUGCAGCGAUCGCUCUGCAGCUCUGCCUGAGGGAUGAAGGGAAAACAGCACCAAAACACGCGUUGAAUAAAAUCCCUCUGUACAGA